GACGAACGCUGGCGGCGUGCUUAACACAUGCAAGUCGAACGCUGAAGCAUCUUUCGGGGUGUGGAUGAGUGGCGAACGGGUGAGUAACACGUGGGUAAUCUGCCUUGUACUUUGGGAUAAGCCUGGGAAACUGGGUCUAAUACCGGAUAUGACCUGCCUUCGCAUGGGGGUGGGUGGAAAGACUUCGGCGGUACGGGAGUGGGCCCGGCCGGCCUAUCAGCUUGUUGGUGGGGUGGAUGGCCUACCAAGGCGACGACGGGUAGCCGGCCUGAGAGGGUGACCGGCCACACUGGGACUGAGACACGGCCCAGACUCCUACGGGAGGCAGCAGUGGGGAAUAUUGCACAAUGGGCGGAAGCCUGAUGCAGCGACGCCGCGUGAGGGAUGACGGCCUCGGUUGUAA
rnacentral:rRNA from 1 species